CAAGUUACUUUUAAAAUUGAGGUUUCACUUACAUUGAAAUUUAUUAUUGUGUAAUUCAAUAUAACUUGA
rnacentral:tRNA from 1 species